ACUCAAAGGAAUAGACGGGGGCCCGCACAAGCGGUGGAGCAUGUGGAUUAAUACGUCACUAACCGUAGAACCUUACCCAGGCUUGACAUCUGUGGAACUCCGGUGAAAGCCGGGGGUGCCUCGCAAGAGGAGCCACAAGACAGGUGUUGCAUGGCUGUCGUCAGCUCGUGUCGUGAGAUGUUGGGUUAAGUCCCGCAACGAGCGCAACCCUCACCAGAUGUUGCCAGCAUUCAGUUGGGCACUCUUCUGGAACUGCCCGGGUAACCGGGAGGAAGGUGGGGACGACGUCAAGUCAGCAUGGCCCUUACGCCUGGGGCUUCACACAUGCUACAAUGGCCGGUACAGAGGGUCCCGAGCCCGCGAGGGGGAGGCAAUCCCAAAAAGCCGGUCUCAGUUCGGAUCGCAGGCUGCAACUCGCCUGCGUGAAGUCGGAAUCGCUAGUAACCGCCGGUCAGCUAAACGGCGGUGAAUACGUUCCCGGGCCUUGUACACACCGCCCGU
rnacentral:rRNA from 1 species